rnacentral:rRNA from 1 species
CGUGUAGGCGGGUUAAUAAGUUUGAAGUGAAAUCCUAUGGCUCAACCAUAGAACUGCUUUGAAAACUGUUAACCUAGAAUAUGGGAGAGGUAGAUGGAAUUUCUGGUGUAGGGGUAAAAUCCGUAGAGAUCAGAAGGAAUACCGAUUGCGAAGGCGAUCUACUGGAACAUUAUUGACGCUGAGACGCGAAAGCGUGGGGAGCAAACA